rnacentral:rRNA from 1 species
AGAGUUUGAUCAUGGCUCAGGACGAACGCUGGCGGCGUGCUUAACACAUGCAAGUCGAACGGAGUUAAGCGCUGGUCUGAUUCUAGCUUGCUAGAGGAUUUCCUUGCUUAACUUAGUGGCGGACGGGUGAGUAACGCGUGAGUAACCUGCCCUUUAGUGGGGAAUAACGCCCUGAAAAGAGCGCUAAUACCGCAUAACACAUAUUUGCCGCAUGACAGAUAUGUCAAAGAUUUAUCGCUGAAGGAUGGACUCGCGUCCGAUUAGCUUGUUGGUGAGGUAACGGCCCAUCAAGGCGACGAUCGGUAGCCGGACUGAGAGGUUGAACGGCCACAUUGGGACUGAGACACGGCCCAGACUCCUACGGGAGGCAGCAGUGGGGGAUAUUGCGCAAUGGGGGAAACCCUGACGCAGCAACGCCGCGUGGAGGAUGACGGUUUUCGGAUUGUAAACUCCUUUUAUAAGGGACGAACUAAGACGGUACCUUAUGAAUAAGCUCCGGCUAACUACGUGCCAGCAGCCGCGGUAAUACGUAGGGAGCAAGCGUUGUCCGGAUUUACUGGGUGUAAAGGGAGCGUAGGCCGUCGUUUAAGCGUGUUGUGAAAUGUAGGCGCUCAACGUCUGCACUGCAGCGCGAACUGGAUGACUUGAGUACGCGGGAMRSMRGCSGAAUUCGUCGUGUAGCGGUGMACAUGCUUAGAUAUGACGAAGAACUCUCGAUUGCRMAGGCAGYYKSCUGUAGCGCCACUGACRCUGAUGCUMGAAAGCGUGGGUAUCGAACAGGAUUAGAUACCCKGKWRGUUCACGCRGUAAACGAUGGAUGCUCGCUGUAUGCAUAUGAUGUAUGCGGCCACAGAAAACCAUUAGGCAUCCCACCUGGAGAGUACGCCGGCAACGGUGAAACUCAAAGGAAUUGACGGGGGCCCGCACACGCGGAGGAACAUGUGGUUUAAUUCGAUGAUACGCGAGGAACCUUACCCGGGCUUGAACUGCAGCAGACGGAUUCAGAGAUGAUGACUCCCUUCGGAGCUGCUGUGGAGGUGCUGCAUGGUUGUCGUCAGCUCGUGCCGUGCAGUGUCGGCUUAAGUGCCAUAACGAGCGCAACCCCUUUCGUCAGUUGCCAUCAGGUGAUGCUGGGCACUCUGGCGAUACUGCCACCGUAAGGUGUGAGGAAGGUGGGGAUGACGUCAAAUCAGCACGGCCCUUACGUCCGGGGCUACACACGCCUUACAAUGCCGCAUACAGAGAGUCGGUCCUGUGCAACCAGGGUCUAAUCGAAAAACUGCGUCGUAGUUCGGACUCCGGUCUGCAACCCGACCCCACCAAGCUCGAUUCGCUAGUAAUCGCGCAUCAGCCAUGGCGCGGUGAAUACGUUCCCGGGCCUUGUACACACCGCCCGUCAAGCCAUGAAAGCCGGGGGCACCUGAAGUCUGUGACCGCGAGGGGCGGCCUAAGGGAAACUGGUACCUGGGGCUCCCCAAGUCGUAACAAGGUACCCGUA